UCCAUUAAAAAUUUCUGAGGAGGCAGAGAGAGCUGCAGUGGAAUUAAUCCAUCCACCAUCCUAUUCUGCCACUGGUGAGGAGGAGGAUCUGUUUUCCAGGAGUGGAUAUCUCAGCCUCCUAGGAAAAGUUGAAAAAAUCCAGAAAGUAAGGAUGACAAUGUCAGACAUCCCAGUCUUGGACCUCAAAAUGAAGUGCGGCGAAAGGCUCCUUGAUGUGUCCCUGUGGAGGGAUGAAGCACUCAGUGAACUCCAUGAGGGAGACAAUGUGCACAUCAGCCAUAUGCGUGCCACCAUUUUGGCAAGUGGCAAUGCAAAACUUCAGUCAUCGAACUAUACUACCAUUAAGAUCGAGGAGGUUGAACCUGUCGAACAGGAAGUUGAAGUUGUGGGAGUGACUGAAAUUGAUGACAACUGCCACCUACUUACUGCGGAUGAUGAAAUCUUUGUUGUGCCUUCUGAACAUUAUUGUGGCAGCAUUGAUGACCUAAUCAUGGAGUUGCCCAUGAAAAUUAUUGUAAAUCAUGUUAAUAAACGAGUAGUUAGCGUACAAACAGUAAACUAAUCAGUAAUCAGUUCAGCGAAUCAGUUUUAUUGUAGUCAUAGCUUUAUAGACUAAUCAGUAAUCAGUUCAGCGAAUCAGUUUUUUUGUAGUCACAGCUUUAUAGACUAAUCAGUAAUCAGUUCAGCGAAUCAGUUUUAUUGUAGUCAUAGCUUUAUAGACUAAUCAGUAAUCAGUUCAGCGAAUCAGUUUUAUUGUAUUUUAUUUUUUUUGUAGUUAUAUAUAUAUAUAUAUAUAUAUACACUUUUGCAUAAUAGUAAAAAAAUAUUUUACACUAUUAGUUAUUUGUGCUUAUGCUAAUGCAAAUUAAUGUUAAAUAAAUUUGUUCUUGUUCAAAUUUAUUGAAAUUGUUUAAACACUUUAUUGCACAAUCACUUAGGCUGUGUCUGUAUUUAUACCUCACUAUCACACAGAUGAAUUCAAAAACACAAAUCUUAAUUAGUAAUGCUUUUUAGAAAUCUUAUGAUCACCAAGGCUGCAAUAAUUUUAAAAUUGAAAACCUUAUGCACAAAUGCUAUUUUGGGGAUUUCCGCUUGGCAUUUUUCCUACCUAAAUUCAAAAGCUUCCCAUACCCACACCCACAUGCAGUGGUGUACAUACAAAAGUUUGGUAUCAUUUUACAGGAAAUCUUUUGAAAUUACAUUAAACAGUUGAAAUUGAUGAAAAUGAUCUUAUAUGUUGUAGCUCAAUUGGUAGAGCACUGCGCUAUCCAAAUUUGAAGUGUCCCCAUACCCACAUACAUUGGAAUAAAUGCAAUCUUUAUAUCAUUUGACAGAAAACACU